CUAAUAUAAGAUAUAUAAUCGUAAAACUAAUUUUGUUAGUGGCAGUGUUUGGUUAAUUAGUAGGGCAGAAGUAAUGCUGUGUGGUCAGCAAACCCAUGACCGUACGAGGGAAUUUUAAUAAUACACUCUUUACACUGAGGAAAUUGAUGGUAUAAAAGUAAAGGUGAUCUCACAUCAAAUAAAUAGUGAAUCCAGGAUUCAAAAGAAAGUUUUUGACUCUAUGGCCAUUCUUUAAAGGUAGACAAUUGCAUUGUGGGUGAUAUUUGGUUCCAACAAAUUAUUGUUUGAACAAUGAUAACUUAUUUCAACAAUUCUCCUACCCAUGUAGUUGUAUGUGCACUUUGUAUAUCACAGAAAAGGCUAGCAAGAAAACCUGAAGUUGACAAAUUUAUUAUAAUCCUGGCUUUACCCCUCAUACUGGAUACUUUACACCCUGACGUUUAUCAACAUGCCAAAAAAUUAUCCAUCAAAUGGGGGUACACAGCAAAGAAAUCACAGGUUGGGCUCCAUGGCUCAUGCCUGUAGUUCUAGCACUUUGGGAGGCCAAAGCAGGCUGAUUGUUUGAGCCCAGGAGUUCAAGUCAAGCCUGGACACCAUGGCACAACCCCUUCUCAACAAAAAAUACAAAAAUUAGCCGAGCAGAGAUCCUCCCACCUCAGCCUCCCAAGUAGCUAGGACUACAAGCAUGAACAAGAACUGAAAAUAAUUUCAGGACAAGAGAAUGUACACUGAAAAAUCCUGGCUAUCUAUGAGAAAUGAGUGAAGAUAAAUAAUUGCAGCUGUUCUCUUUUUCUUUCACUUAAGGUAGAAACAGUGUGUUCACAGAAUUCAGUUAAUUAUUACAAUACACAUCUUGAUUACCAUACCAAAACUCUCCAAAUUCUUCCUAUAAGAGGUACAAUGUUUCUUUAUAAUGGUGCCAAACUGGUACCAAUGGUAGGCAACAACUGCUGCACUGGAAGGAAGUAGUUCAUAACUAAAAGCUAAUAUACAGUGUCAGAGAAAAGUGGUGCUACAUCAGUUGCACUCCAUCAAUAAAAAAACUAGGUCUGUUCAAGCUUUAUGCUGCCACAGUGCCGUGAACUUCAAGAACAUUAUCCAGUGGCUAUAGUCUUAGUGUUCCUUUUUCCAACUAAGCAAAUGCCAAGAGGAGUGCCUUCCCACAAACAAAUGUGUAGGUGACAGUAAAUGCAAUAAUAAGACUAAUUAAUCCACUGGGUGCUUCAAAAGUGGAAUGAGUCAGCCCGACAGAAACAUAUAAUUUUUUUUUUUUUUUUUUUUGAGACGGAGUCUCGCUCUGUCGCCCAGGCCGGACUGCGGACUGCAGUGGCGCAAUCUCGGCUCACUGCAAGCUCCGCUUCCCGGGUUCACGCCAUUCUCCUGCCUCAGCCUCCCGAGUAGCUGGGACUACAGGCGCCCGCCACCGCGCCCGGCUAAUUUUUUGUAUUUUUAGUAGAGACGGGGUUUCACCUUGUUAGCCAGGAUGGUCUCGAUCUCCUGACCUCAUGAUCCACCCGCCUCGGCCUCCCAAAGUGCUGGGAUUACAGGCGUGAGCCACCGCGCCCGGCCUGAAACAUAUAAUUUUUGUUCCUUUAUUAUUAUUUCUUCUUUACCUGUGGAGCCAGAGGCAAGGAAGAUGACCAAGAAUUCAGACAUAGGAGAGAUCUGGAUAAACUUAGGAACCUGUCUAAUAGUUUAGACCCUGGAAGAUACUGUAGAGGAAAGUUGUUUAUUGCCCGUGCGCGGGAGAAUGUCGCUGGGCAGGGCGUGACUCUAAACUCAAGCCGCACGAGGCUUCUCAGAGGUUCCUCUCACCACAAAGCCCCAUCACAGUACAGAAGGCUUUUUGCAAAACAGUGAUUUCUCAGCUUUUCCGAAGAGGUUCCUAAAUGUGGCUGUAACCCUGACGUGAGAGUCGCUCCCGCCCCUACCUACAUCCCACACAUUUCAGGAGUCCCCUACGUAUUCUACAAAACACAGAACGACCAUAUGAGCCACUUCAGUCCUUCUCAGCAUUAGGUGACUGAUUUACAUCAGAAUAAAACAAGAGUUUCUUGCUGGUUUUAAUGUAAUUAAAAUGCACCAUCCCUGUAUGUUCCCAAAGGAGUGGGAGGAAAAGUGUUUGGACAGGGGACUGAUCGUCAGUAGGUUUUCACAGCGUGGUUUAUAAAAUCACUUUUAAGCUCUCUUCCACCUAGCUGUCACUGAGAAUUCGGUUUGAGAGGAAAUGACUUUCUAGACGAUUUUUCAUCUAGAUGAUUUUUCAUCAUAUUCAACCAAGAGUCUUUCUCAUCCUCUAGCUCUCUGAAUGUCCAGAAAUGUAAUAGAAACUCUGCAUUGAUUUCCAAAGGUCUAAUUUCCGGAGGAGCCCUAACUGUCCUGUCCUGCCUACAUUGCCUGCCCUCUAACAUCCUGGGAAUGGGAAGUAACACUGGGAUCGGUGGCGGCAGAACUGCGGACCCUAACAACUUCAGAUUGUUGAAAGGGGGAGGGGAGAAUGGAAGAGAGGAAUGGAAAGGC
rnacentral:lncRNA from 1 species